rnacentral:rRNA from 1 species
UACAGAGGGUGCGAGCGUUGUCCGGAAUCACUGGGCGUAAAGGGCGCGUAGGCGGCUUGAUAAGCGUGCGGUGAAAGCCCGGGGCUCAACCCCGGGUCGGCCGUGCGAACUGUCGAGCUGGAGCACUGUAGAGGCAGGUGGAAUUCCGGGUGUAGCGGUGGAAUGCGUAGAGAUCCGGAAGAACACCGGUGGCGAAGGCGGCCUGCUGGGCAGUGGCUGACGCUGAGGCGUGACAGCGUGGGGAGCAAACAGG